CUUCUGUCCAGACAAGAUGAGACAAACCAGUUGACUUGAAGACACCUGUGAAAUGAAGAGUUUGUACAGGUGUGUCCUGAUGUUCCUGUCUUGACUGGGAGAAACCUGUGAUGAUGAGAAACUCCUGUCCAGACAAGAUGAGACAAACCAGUUGACUUGAAGACACCUGUGAAAUGAAGAGUUUGUACAGGUGUGUCCUGAUGUUCCUGUCUUGACUGGGAGAAACCUGUGAUGAUGAGAAACUCCUGUCCAGACAAGAUGAGACAAACCAGUUGACUUGAAGACACCUGAGGG